GACGAUAUAAACAACUAAAGUCAUCGGAAAUUAAAUGCCAGCUACUCCCAAAAUUUAUUUAUACCUAAUUAUGAAGUCCCAUGUACUUGACUUUCUCACCAGUCCUCUCGUUUUCUUCUUAUUUUUGAUAAGUUAACUCCUCAGUCCUGUCAUUUUCACACAGAUCCUUUUGUGAGAAAUGACAGAAGCCUUAAAGAUUCGCUGCCGCCGCCGCCGCCGCCAUACCAUUCCAAAUCGUACCGCCAGCUGGACGCGCCUCUGGCUCCGCCAUACCGCCGGCGCCGGUAACUCCGUCGAUGCUUAAAAUUUUAAGUUUGUUUUUUGCAGCAGUUUUUUAUGAGUUAAGUUAGAAAUGCUUGAGUGUAUUUCAUGAACUGAGCUUCGUUGUUUGUUAAAUUAACAUGUUACUUGUGUGUAAUUUUGUUUUCACCACAUAUACUAAACAAUUUAUUAUUUUUUGUUU